rnacentral:rRNA from 1 species
GCGGUAAUACCAGCUCUCCGAGUGGUGUGGAUAAUUAUUGGGCCUAAAGCAUCCGUAGCCGGCUGGGUAAGUCCCCUGUUAAAUCCAGCGAUUUAAUCGCUGGCAUGCGGGGGAUACUACUCGGCUAGGGGGCGGGAGAGGCCGUCGGUAUUCCCGGGGUAGGGGUGAAAUCCUAUAAUCCCGG